rnacentral:lncRNA from 1 species
GUGGCAAACCAACAGACUCUCCAUACUGAAAUUUUCCUCCUUCAAGCCCAGAUGCUUUUAAGACUUUACAGCGCCGUCUCUCACAAAUAUGAAAAGGCAUAUUCUCUCCCUGCAGGCUCCCUGUGCUCCUCAUCCAUUGAUCUAUGUACCCCUAUUCUUGACUCCAGACUGAAGGCUUCCUUUGUCAGUGAUUGAUGGCCACCCUCUCACAGGAAGAAUGACUAACUCCAACCUGACAGUCCACCACCUCACCAGUCCUCCUGGCUGCAGUGCAAGGCCAGAAGACAGCUCAGCUGGGGGAACAAGCCAUAGUCAGGAGAAGUGUUAUUAAAAACCCCAACAAAAUGAAAUUAAAAUGGAACAUCUAUACUGGAGAACAGCAGAGGCUAUAAACUGUGGAUUGGUGGACAGCAGCUUCAGUCACAUGCAGUGCAGCAAUGGUUACAGAGAAAACAAGUUCACAAAUCAUUGGCUCACACAAGUCAGAGAAGGCAGGAACAAAGGUUCAGGUAGGUUGCUGCUCCCUCAGGCAGUUCCUCCAAAGACACCAGAGGUGCAGGAACCCUCUGACAAACAUCCAGUGCCUGGAUAUGAGCUCAGAAAGAAGAGUCAAUCUGUGCUCUCAGCUAUCAAAACGUACCCCACGCAUCUGCUAUUGCUGGAAAAAUGCUCAUUGAUUUCAGACAUAAGCAUGUGGCUGUGCUUUUGCACAGCUCAGUAUAAAAGUGGCUUUAUUCCUAAAGAAGCUUUCAGAUGUAUAUAUGUUCAUAUAUUUAGAUCAGUAUGCAUGCUCUGGUUCUGUAUAUACAUACAUAAGCUACAUUCACAUGGAUACAUAGAGGAAAUUUUUUUCUCAAGUCACAACUACAAAGGAACAAACAAAAAGCCCAAAACCUGA